UACGGAGGGGGCAAGCGUUGUUCGGAAUUACUGGGCGUAAAGGGCGCGCAGGCGGCUGCUCAAGUCAGGCGUGAAAGGCCUGGGCUCAACCCGGGAAUUGCGCUUGAGACUGGGCUGGCUUGAGUGCGGGAGAGGAUGGUGGAAUUCCCAGUGUAGAGGUGAAAUUCGUAGAUAUCGGGAGGAACACCAGUGGCGAAGGCGACUACCUGGCCUGUUUCUUGACGCUGAGGCGCGAAAGCUAGGGGAGCAAACGGG
rnacentral:rRNA from 1 species